AUAAGCUCCCCAGAUAAAUUUUAAAUGAUGAAAAUUUAAAGCAGAAAGAUAUUUCUAGAAGAAAAUCGCCAAGAAAUCUGAGUUAUAACAAUCCUUAUUCCAUCACUAAUUUAAAAUAAAGCCCAAGUAAAUCGGAUAUUGAACAAAAAGCUGAUUCCAUUGAGAAUAUAUUUUUUUUUAGCUGCCAAUCUUUUUCAGGGCACCACACAAUAUUUAUUUUUCAGAGCAUACAAAAUUCAUUGGGUCCUCCCAAUGUUUCGGGUUUCAAUAGGUGGAAGGUGGAAGCCCUCGUCCAUUCUGUCAUUGUAUUCGUGACCGCGUACUUGUAACUGCGGUUGUAUGGGUGUUAUUGUCUACGUGGCAAAACUUCCGCUGCGGUUUUGGCUGCUGCGGUGGUUUUGGCCGCUUCGGUGGCUGCGGCAACCGGAAGCAGCAAACACUUUCCGGUCACGCAGUCACAAGGACUCUCCGCUCCUCUCGCGCCAAAAUAAAAUAAAAUGGAAAGGAGGAAACAACAAAAACUCAAAGUCUCGAGCAGUCACUUAAGCUUAAGUGUUGUUGUGCGCCAACCAUUUUGUGGCCACAACAAUAACAAUGGGGGCCAACAAUGGGAGCAACUCAAUUUCUAUGCGUAGUACAACGCGACUUUUCGCAGGACGAAACUUUCGCCAAAGAGCAGCCACAAAUUGUCGGGCGAACAAAAUUUGCCCAGACCGCUUCUAGUUUUGCAUUUGAAAUGUGCCAAAUAAGUUUUUAAUUGAAAAGAACUCGCAGUCGAAGUCGAUGCCCGCAAAAUGUGGGCAGCAUACAUUAAGUACGCAAAUGCGGCACGAACUAUUCUACAGAGAAGUGGCUUAAAGCUUCAAUAAAAAGUGAGUACUUCAUUUAUUUCUGUUAAUAUUUUACUCAAAUUAACUAUGAGAAAAUUAUCCUACUUAAAGGUGCUUUAAACGCAGGGAACAUCGGUAUAACAUGUGCACUUGCAAUAAUCUGAGAGUGGGAAAAGUUUCCUGACUUACGCACACAAAUCAUUAUCGAUUAUAAUCGAAGUCAGGUGUAUAACGAGCGUAUACGAUUUAAUGCCCAGUCCAUUAGUUAAACAGCCCUGGUCUCGCCACGAAUCUGACCCUUCCAUUGUGUCCCGGUGUUAAUAAGCCAAAAGUCAAUGUGUUAAAUGAGCUGUGGGGUGGAUAUCCUGGCGGCGAGAAAAGGGGGUUCUGCGAACUGCUAGAGCUGGCUAUGGUUCAGAGUCAUGUGAAAAUUCAAUAUAAAACUGGCAGAGAACAAAGGAGAACUUUCGCUAUUCAGGUGAGAGUCAACAGUUGGACGAGGGUCGAUUGCAAAGUUUGGUGUGGGUGGGAUUAUCAGGGAAAUAUAUUAAAGCCUCAAUGGAUAUUAAAUUAAGUUCAUACAUCUUACAAUCAAAUUAACCUUAAGGUUUAUUCUUGCACAUUUUGGAUAACUUUAACAUAGGCUCACAUUUUAUAUUUAUUAUUUUGAUUUAUUGUUUUUGAUCAUAAUAUAUUCUUAUAACUUUUUAUUAGAAUUUUAUAAUUUUUCCAAGGGUAGAUGAACUUCGUCCUGCCUAAGCUAGCUUCUUUUCCUGUUUUUUUGUGAUAAUGCAUCAAAAUUAUUAACAAAGUGUUUGUUUUAGUAGCUAUACCCGUAAAAAAUUCAUUUAAUGCUAAUGCUUAGAUGAAGAUUUCCCGAUAUUCAACCCCCGUGAACGUUUGCCAUUUCUUAUGCGCUUGUCGGUUAUCGUUUUUAUGCCCUUUUCUGCCAUGUCUGCACAACAAACAAUGGGCCAAAAUGUGAUUUAGUUUAUGCCAUUUUGACACGCUAGUACACUUCCUCAUUUCCUUUCUGCGUUUUGCCAUUCGAACCCGAACGACAGGCAGUUAUAAUCUAUGGAAUUGUUACCAAAAUCCAUUUGCCAUAUUGCCAGCUGCAAGAAGAGCUGGCUGAAUAACUUGCACUCGAGUGCACUUUGCCUCCAUCGUGAUCAUUCUCAUCCUCAUCGACGUCGAUGUUUGGCAUUCAAUUCAAUUAAGUGAGUUUAACUUUUGUGUGGAGGAGGGGACAAGAAAAAGCCAAGGAUAAAGUUGAAGUGCGAGAACAAAGGGAGCGAUUCUAUGAGAAGUACCAGUAUCCGUUGUCUGCCUUAUAAUUGUUUCCAUUUGUUCUCAUCAAAGUUUUCCGAUUCGUGGGUUAUUUGACUUUUCUCACGACUUUUCCUUUGUGUUCCACUUUGAAACAAUUAUUUAGGUGAGAGUUGCCACGCUUACUUGGAAUUUGCUGCGGCUUCCACCAGUUGGUUAAUAAAAUCAAUAAUUUCAAACUUUCCAUCAAGAAUAUUGUGAACUGCGACUACGUAUAAAUUAAAAAAGAUAUCCUUCUGCUUUCACUUAGUAAGUAAAACAAAUCCAGCACCCCAAGUUGUAAGCUUUGAAUCGAUUUUUUGGUCAGUAAUAUUUUUACAAUGGUGAUCUAUGCACUUUAUAUCCGUACUUUGUGGCAGAUAUCUGACCUUUCCCGUAGCUGAGCCAAUCUGAAUUGAUCCACCUUUUUAAUGUCUUUCUUUUGUCAUCCUUGGUCCUUGACUCUGGAAUUCUUUGUGCAUUCUGAUGGUGGCGAGUCAAUGUCGCUGCACUCUGUUGCAUUUUAUAAGCGGUACGUGUCAGCAAUCACCCCGGGAAAAAUAGCACUUACCCUGACCGGGAACUCCUGCUGGCCAUGUGAAUUGUAGGCGCCAGUGGUUUUUAUUAAAACCCGUAAACGCACUUGCUGCAUGCAAGUUUGUUGUGAUUGUGCGGACAACGGGGCGUAUGGGCAAUGUCAUGUUGUGCAACAACUCAAAAAACCCGCAAAUUGGUGUAGUGUUUUCUAGGUUAAUUGUUCUCUGAUUAGCGUUGGAAUGUUAGCUACAUCACUCUACUUGUUUAUAAAUGUUCCAGUGAUUUGGCAAUUCUUAUCCGUUAACACAUUGCAUAUCAUAAAUUGCUGUGGCUAGUCAACAAAAUUUAGAUUUAACUUCUUUAGGUGUCUGCAUUUAAAAUAACUUAACUUAAAGGCAAAUUGUUUGGACCAAACCUUUUAAAUCAAAGGAAAAAUUUAAAAUUCGCAGUUUAAUGGUUGCAAAGAUACGGUUGAUUAACCUGGAACUUGAAUAAUUUAUGGCGACACUGGAUACCUGUGUUUAUUCGACCUUAAAACCAGUGACAGCUAACCCGAAAUCAAAGCGGUGUACUGAAGCUCAGGAGACCGGCACCUCGUACCACUUUUCACAUCCUUUAUGCCGUGCAUUCCGAGUCCUGCAGAGCAACCGACACUUAGAGGGCUGCCGUCGAUGUCUUUGUGGCAGCGCUGGGUUGCUGGCGAGGAGGGUCGCCACUCGGCUGCCAUGAUGCAAUUGUCAGCAUUUGGCUUCGGUGGCACCGCAAUCGCGAGUAAUUGUGGAAUGCCACGGGGCACCAAACAAACAAAGCGGCAAAAAAAAAAAACGUUAAAAAGGGAACAGGAGCUGAAAAACAACGUUGAUGCUGAUGUUUUGUGGCCUCAAUUUGCUUAAACAGGCAAUUAAUAUGCGCGGCAACGUUGUAAACAAUGCCAUCGGGGAAUUUGCGGGAUAAGCCCGCACCAACCUUCUGACUAAUGGCCGAAAUAAACACAGUUUUGUGCGACUCUUGUUUGGAUUAA
rnacentral:sRNA from 1 species